rnacentral:tRNA from 1 species
GGAAAUUCAGCUUAAAUAAGCGGUUUUCCGAACAACUACAAACACCCGCGAAAGUGUCGAGCCGCCUUCGCAUGGCGGAGGUCACGAGUUCGAGUCUCGUCGGGUCCA